rnacentral:rRNA from 1 species
GACGAACGCUGGCGGCGUGCCUAAUACAUGCAAGUCGAACGAACUCUGGUAUUGAUUGGUGCUUGCAUCAUGAUUUACAUUUGAGUGAGUGGCGAACUGGUGAGUAACACGUGGGAAACCUGCCCAGAAGCGGGGGAUAACACCUGGAAACAGAUGCUAAUACCGCAUAACAACUUGGACCGCAUGGUCCGAGUUUGAAAGAUGGCUUCGGCUAUCACUUUUGGAUGGUCCCGCGGCGUAUUAGCUAGAUGGUGGGGUAACGGCUCACCAUGGCAAUGAUACGUAGCCGACCUGAGAGGGUAAUCGGCCACAUUGGGACUGAGACACGGCCCAAACUCCUACGGGAGGCAGCAGUAGGGAAUCUUCCACAAUGGACGAAAGUCUGAUGGAGCAACGCCGCGUGAGUGAAGAAGGGUUUCGGCUCGUAAAACUCUGUUGUUAAAGAAGAACAUAUCUGAGAGUAACUGUUCAGGUAUUGACGGUAUUUAACCAGAAAGCCACGGCUAACUACGUGCCAGCAGCCGCGGUAAUACGUAGGUGGCAAGCGUUGUCCGGAUUUAUUGGGCGUAAAGCGAGCGCAGGCGGUUUUUUAAGUCUGAUGUGAAAGCCUUCGGCUCAACCGAAGAAGUGCAUCGGAAACUGGGAAACUUGAGUGCAGAAGAGGACAGUGGAACUCCAUGUGUAGCGGUGAAAUGCGUAGAUAUAUGGAAGAACACCAGUGGCGAAGGCGGCUGUCUGGUCUGUAACUGACGCUGAGGCUCGAAAGUAUGGGUAGCAAACAGGAUUAGAUACCCUGGUAGUCCAUACCGUAAACGAUGAAUGCUAAGUGUUGGAGGGUUUCCGCCCUUCAGUGCUGCAGCUAACGCAUUAAGCAUUCCGCCUGGGGAGUACGGCCGCAAGGCUGAAACUCAAAGGAAUUGACGGGGGCCCGCACAAGCGGUGGAGCAUGUGGUUUAAUUCGAAGCUACGCGAAGAACCUUACCAGGUCUUGACAUACUAUGCAAAUCUAAGAGAUUAGACGUUCCCUUCGGGGACAUGGAUACAGGUGGUGCAUGGUUGUCGUCAGCUCGUGUCGUGAGAUGUUGGGUUAAGUCCCGCAACGAGCGCAACCCUUAUUAUCAGUUGCCAGCAUUAAGUUGGGCACUCUGGUGAGACUGCCGGUGACAAACCGGAGGAGGGUGGGGAUGACGUCAAAUCAUCAUGCCCCUUAUGACCUGGGCUACACACGUGCUACAAUGGAUGGUACAACGAGUUGCGAACUCGCGAGAGUAAGCUAAUCUCUUAAAGCCAUUCUCAGUUCGGAUUGUAGGCUGCAACUCGCCUACAUGAAGUCGGAAUCGCUAGUAAUCGCGGAUCAGCAUGCCGCGGUGAAUACGUUCCCGGGCCUUGUACACACCGCCCGUCACACCAUGAGAGUUUGUAACACCCAAAGUCGGUGGGGUAACCUUUUAGGAACCAGCCGCCUAAGGUGGGACAGAUGAUUAGGGUG